AUUGAACGCUGGCGGCAGGCCUAACACAUGCAAGUCGAACGGAGUGGCGGACGGGUGAGUAAUGCCUAGGAAUCUGCCCGGUAGUGGGGGGUAACGUCCGGAAACGGGCGCUAAUACCGCAUACUAUCAGAUGAGCCUAGGUCGGGGUAGAUAGUUGGUGGGGUAAAGGCCUACCAAGGCGACGAUCCGUAACUGGUGUGCGAGGAUGACCAGACAAACUGGAACUGCGAAACGGUCCAGAUGCUGACGGGAGGCAGCAGUGGGGAAUAUUGCACAAGGGGGGCAAGCCUGAUGCAGCAAGGCCGGGUGUAUGAGUAAGGCCUUCGGGUUGUAAAGUACUUUCAGCGGGGAGGCGUUACCCGCAGAAGAAGCACCGGCUAACUCCGUGCCAGCAGCCGCGGUAAUUC
rnacentral:rRNA from 1 species